GCAAAACAUCAUGGAAGCUGUAGUUUUAAAACAUCUGGGGAUGUAUCUUUUGGGCACCCCUGAUUUAGGCUUUCAGGAACCCUCUAAAUCCUACCAGGCGGUUUAGGGGCUUCUAGCUCAGUAAUGCAGCCAUUCUCACAAGCCUCCUGGCAGAUGUUUGUCAGAGUAUUAACAUAGAUAUCCCAAGUGUGAGAGGAUGUCAGGGGGUUUACAGCAAGACUUAUCAUGAUGGAGGAGACUACAGUGACUCACUGACCUGC